UAGGGAAUCUUCCGCAAUGGGCGAAAGCCUGACGGAGCAACGCCGCGUGAGUGAUGAAGGUCUUCGGAUCGUAAAACUCUGUUAUUAGGGAAGAACAAAUGUGUAAGUAACUAUGCACGUCUUGACGGUACCUAAUCAGAAAGCCACGGCUAACUACGUGCCAGCAGCCGCGGUAAUACGUAGGUGGCAAGCGUUAUCCGGAAUUAUUUGGCGUAAAGCGCGCGUAGGCGGUUUUUUAAGUCUGAUGUGAAAGCCCACGGCUCAACCGUGGAGGGUCAUUGGAAACUGGAAAACUUGAGUGCAGAAGAGGAAAGUGGAAUUCCAUGUGUAGCGGUGAAAUGCGCAGAGAUAUGGAGGAACACCAGUGGCGAAGGCGACUAUCUGGACUGUAACUGACGCUGAUGUGCGAAAGCGUGGGGAUCAAACAGG
rnacentral:rRNA from 1 species